UUUUUAGUUAUGCUCGGCAGGAAGAACAACGAAAAGAUCUACUCCAUCUUCCCAAAAGCAUAAGGCUCCAGAUUUUUUUUUACAAGAUUUAUGUUUCCCAAUUAGGGAAAACGUUGGGCUCCACUAAGUGUUGAGACUGAAAUGGGAUUAGAAAGUCAUUCAUAGAAGCCAGACACAGUGGCUACACCUGUAAUUCCAGCACUUUGGAAGGCCGAGCAGGCAGAUCAUGAGAUCAGGAGUUCAAAACCAGCCUGACCAAC